AACGAACGCUGGCGGCAUGCCUAACACAUGCAAGUUGAGCGAGAACCAAGAAGCUUGCUUUUUGGGGACAGCAGCGCACGGGUGAGUAACGCGUGGGUAACGUACCCUAGGGUUGGGAAUAACUCACCGAAAGGUGAGCUAAUACCGAAUAAGUUCCUAAGAGAUGCGUCUUUUAGGAAGAAAGCAGGGCAACCUGCGCCCUUGGAUCGGCCCGCGUUCCAUCAGUUUGUUGGUGGGGUAAUGGCCUACCAAGACUACGACGGAUAGCUGGUCUGAGAGGAUGAUCAGCCACACUGGGACUGAGACACGGCCCAGACUCCUACGGGAGGCAG
rnacentral:rRNA from 1 species